rnacentral:rRNA from 1 species
AUUGAACGCUGGCGGCAUGCCUUACACAUGCAAGUCGAACGGCAGCACGGGGCAACCUGGUGGCGAGUGGCGAACGGGUGAGUAAUGCAUCGGAACGUACCUUUCAGUGGGGGAUAACGUAGCGAAAGUUACGCUAAUACCGCAUAUUCUGUGAGCAGGAAAGCAGGGGAUCGCAAGACCUUGCGCUGAUUGAGCGGCCGAUGUCAGAUUAGCUAGUUGGUGAGGUAAAGGCUCACCAAGGCGACGAUCUGUAGCGGGUCUGAGAGGAUGAUCCGCCACACUGGAACUGAGACACGGUCCAGACUCCUACGGGAGGCAGCAGUGGGGAAUUUUGGACAAUGGGGGCAACCCUGAUCCAGCCAUGCCGCGUGAGUGAAGAAGGCCUUCGGGUUGUAAAGCUCUUUCGGCCGGGAAGAAAUCGCACGGGCUAAUACCCUGUGUGGAUGACGGUACCGGAAUAAGAAGCACCGGCUAACUACGUGCCAGCCGCCGCGGUAACAC